ensembl:lncRNA
CUCAGAGCGAGUUCGCUGCUGCUGGCGCCUUGCUGCUUGGCGAUUGGGUGCUUGGAGACUCCGGACCGGCUUGUGGAUCCUGGGUGGGCGUGGAGAGCUGCUUCAAUGGUUUGAAUCCUAGGAACUUAGGUCAUCAGGCUUGGCAGAGUCGAGCUCCCCUCUCCCCAGCACGGCUGUAGUCAUUUUGUUCCAUGCCCGCCAGCUCUUUCAUAUCGUUGCUGUGAAACUCCCCAGUACCUGGAAGUUGGACAGCAACUAGACUGCCUUCUCUCCAGAAUGGUCCUGAGCAGAAGUGACUAACCAGCCUCAGGCCAGGUGUACAACUUCCUGAGUUGUAUCUUCUGCCUUCUUGUAGCACUUUGUAUGGCUACCCGUCAGAUUCAGCUGUCAGGGAAUCUCAAAUAAAGGACUAUUACAGUAAUUUGAAAGAGUAUAGGUGAUGUUGUUUACAAGUGGAUAGGAUGCAAAUCAAAGACGAGGGUAGAAGGAACCUUAAUCCCUCAUCUACUUCAGUUGGGAGGAGGAGCUGAGGACAUCUGGGCAUAAACCCCUGGGAAGGAUUUGUGGGUAUCCGGCAGCUCCAUCUCUCUUUUUAUGUUCUUUUCUUCUGUUCUUCCAGCUACAGCCUUAGCCUUAGUUAAUA